rnacentral:tRNA from 1 species
GGGCCCGUAGCUCAGCAUGGUAGAGCAGCUGACAAAAGACCAGUUGGUCCGGGGUUCAAAAGCUAAAAGCUGAAAUUCCCCGCGGGCCCA